rnacentral:rRNA from 1 species
AAAGGAAUUGACGGGACCGCACAAGCGGUGGAUGAUGUGGUUUAAUUCGAUGCAACGCGAAAACCUUACCCACCUUUGACAUGGCAGGAAUCCCGAAGAGAUUUGGGAGUGCUCGAAAGAGAACCUGCACACAGGUGCUGCAUGGCUGUCGUCAGCUCGUGUCGUGAGAUGUUGGGUUAAGUCCCGCAACGAGCGCAACCCUUGCCAUUAGUUGCUACGAAAGGGCACUCUAAUGGGACUGCCGGUGACAAACCGGAGGAAGGUGGGGAUGACGUCAAGUCCUCAUGGCCCUUAUAGGUGGGGCUACACACGUCAUACAAUGGCCGGUACAGAGGGUAGCCAACCCGCGAGGGGGAGCCAAUCCCACAAAGCCGGUCGUAGUCCGGAUCGCAGUCUGCAACUCGACUGCGUGAAGUCGGAAUCGCUAGUAAUCGCGGAUCAGCAUGUCGCGGUGAAUACGUUCCCGGGUCUU